rnacentral:rRNA from 1 species
AAAAUGCACUACUUGUGGUGUGAAUUGCAGAAUCCCGUGAACCAUCGAGUCUUUGAACGCAAGUUGCGCCCAAAGCCUUUUGGUGGAGGGCACGUCUGCCUGGGUGUCACAC